GAAUUUUUUAAUGGGGGACCUAACCACCAAGAGCUGCANNAGACGCCCUAUGGGUUNUAAAUGCUUUAUGCGGGGAAAANGAGGGAAGUUUCCUUAUUGUAGGUACCGCAUGNAUAAGGACCGGCUAAUUCCGUGCCAGCAGCCGCGUUAAUACGGAAGGUCCGGGCGUUAUCCGGAUUUACUGGGUUUAAAGGGAGCGCAGGCGGAGGCUUAAGCGUGACGUGAAAUGUANCCGCUACAACGGCUGAGUUGCGUCGCGAACUGGGUUUNUUGAGUGAGUGCGACGUUAGCGGAAUUCGUGGUGUAGCGGUGAAAUGCUUAGAUAUCACGAAGAACCCCGAUUGCGAAGGCAGCUGACGAGCCCUUUACNGACGCUAAAGCUCGAAGGUGCGGGUAUCGAACAGGAUUAGAUACCCUGGUAGUCCGCACGGUAAACGAUGGAUGCCCGCUGUAUGCGAUACAAUGUAUGCGGCCAAGCGAAAGCGUUAAGCAUCCCACCUGGGGAGUACGCCGGCAACU
rnacentral:rRNA from 1 species